rnacentral:rRNA from 1 species
AGAGUUUGAUCCUGGCUCAGAGCGAACGCUGGCGGCAGGCUUAACACAUGCAAGUCGAGCGGGCGUAGCAAUACGUCAGCGGCAGACGGGUGAGUAACGCGUGGGAACGUACCUUUUGGUUCGGAACAACACAGGGAAACUUGUGCUAAUACCGGAUAAGCCCUUACGGGGAAAGAUUUAUCGCCGAAAGAUCGGCCCGCGUCUGAUUAGCUAGUUGGUAGGGUAAUGGCCUACCAAGGCGACGAUCAGUAGCUGGUCUGAGAGGAUGAUCAGCCACAUUGGGACUGAGACACGGCCCAAACUCCUACGGGAGGCAGCAGUGGGGAAUAUUGGACAAUGGGGGCAACCCUGAUCCAGCCAUGCCGCGUGAGUGAUGAAGGCCCUAGGGUUGUAAAGCUCUUUUGUGCGGGAAGAUAAUGACGGUACCGCAAGAAUAAGCCCCGGCUAACUUCGUGCCAGCAGCCGCGGUAAUACGAAGGGGGCUAGCGUUGCUCGGAAUCACUGGGCGUAAAGGGUGCGUAGGCGGGUCUUUAAGUCAGGGGUGAAAUCCUGGAGCUCAACUCCAGAACUGCCUUUGAUACUGAAGAUCUUGAGUUCGGGAGAGGUGAGUGGAACUGCGAGUGUAGAGGUGAAAUUCGUAGAUAUUCGCAAGAACACCAGUGGCGAAGGCGGCUCACUGGCCCGAUACUGACGCUGAGGCACGAAAGCGUGGGGAGCAAACAGGAUUAGAUACCCUGGUAGUCCACGCUGUAAACGAUGGGCACUAGGUGUGGGGGGUGUCGACUCCCUCCGUGCCGAAGCUAACGCAUUAAGUGCCCCGCCUGGGGAGUACGGCCGCAAGGCUAAAACUCAAAGGAAUUGACGGGGGCCCGCACAAGCGGUGGAGCAUGUGGUUUAAUUCGACGCAACGCGAAGAACCUUACCAGGAUUUGACAUCCAACUAACGAAGUAGAGAUACAUUAGGUGCCCUUCGGGGAAAGUUGAGACAGGU